UAUCUCUGUAGAGUCUGCAUAUCAAUAAGCGGAGGAAAAGAAACUAACAAGGAUUCCCUUAGUAACGGCGAGUGAAGCGGGAAGAGCUCAAAUUUGAAAUCUUCAAGGUUCUACCUUGACGAAUUGUAGUUUAAAGAAGUGUUUUCUGUUAGAUGAGUAGCAAAAGUUCCUUGGAAUGGGACAUCAUAGAGGGUGAGAAUCCCGUAUUUGGUUAUUCAUUCUAGCUUUGUGAUACACUUUCAAAGAGUCGGAUUGUUUGGGAAUGCAGUCCAAAAUGGGUGGUAAAUUUCAUCUAAAGCUAAAUAUUGGCGAGAGACCGAUAGCGAACAAGUAGCCGUGAGGGAAAGAUGAAAAGAACUUUGAAAAGAGAGUUAAACAGUACGUGAAAUUGUCAAAAGGGAAGCGUUUGACACCAGUGUUGUUUUUCCGAAAAUCAAUUACGAAUGGCUUGAUUUUGUGUUGUAUUGACCUUAUCAGCUUUCUGCACUUUUUUCGAGUCUUUCUUAAUGCACUUUUCGGUUAACAAGUCAACAUCAAUUUCUUUUGUUGUAAAAGAGUAUUCGGAAGGUGGCUUUCUUUUCGGAGAAAGUGUUUAUAGCCCUAUACUUCUACAAUCGGAGAGAUUGAGGUCUGCAGCGUAGAUCCUUCGGGGUUAGAUACACUUGUGCUAAGUUGUAGCUUUUCAUAGACAACUUGUUGACUAUGUUUAGUCAUGCGGCUUACUCGCUUAUGCUAUUUUACCUACGCUUAGGAUGUUGACUGAUAUGUAGUCGUA
rnacentral:rRNA from 1 species